GGAAAUCUAAAAACUAUUGUUAGCUUGAAAAAUAGAUGUUUAGGAUUUGUUCAUGUCAUCAUGAGUAAAAAUUUUACUCGCAAAUUUACUCAUGAGUAAAAUUUUUAUUGGGAGUUAAACUUUUACUCAUGGUGACCUACAUGAAUAUUAGAUAUCCAUUUUUCGAUCCAAUAUCAGUUUCUAGGUUUAU
rnacentral:pre_miRNA from 1 species